rnacentral:rRNA from 1 species
UACAGAGGUCUCAAGCGUUGUUCGGAAUUACUGGGCGUAAAGGGUGCGCAGGCCGCGCGGGCAGUCAAAUGUGUAAUUCAGGGGCUCAACCCCUGCACUGCGCUUGAUACUUCCGCGCUCGAACCUUGGAGAGGAGUCUGGAAUUCUCGGUGUAGCAGUGAAAUGCGUGGAUAUCGAGAAGAACACUUAGGGCGAAAGCAAGACUCUGGACAAGUGUUGACGCUCAUGCACGAAGGCUAGGGGUAGCGAACGGG